rnacentral:rRNA from 1 species
GUGUCAGCCGCCGCGGUAAUACGUAGGUGGCGAGCGUUGUCCGGAAUUAUUGGGCGUAAAGAGCGCGUAGGCGGGUAGAUAAGUCUGUUUUAAAAGUGCGGGGCUCAACCCCGUGAUGGAAUGGAAACUGUUUAUCUUGAGUACCGGAGAGGAAAGUGGAAUUCCCAGUGUAGCGGUGAAAUGCGUAUAUAUUGGGAGGAACACCAGUGGAGAAGGCGACUUUCUGGACGGUGUCUGACGCUGAGGCGCGAAAGCCAGGGAAG